rnacentral:misc_RNA from 1 species
UGAAGACCAAUUUGCAGCCAAAGCAGCCGAAAACUGUAGGUGGGAUGGGGAUUGGGAAGUAUAAUUUGCUUAGGAGAAGACAGAUUAAGGUAGAAACUGAAGCAUGGGAAGAUGCGGCUAAGGAGUAUCAGGAGUUGCUGAUGGAUAUGUGUGAGCAAAAGCUGGCACCAAACUUGCCGUAUAUUAAAUCUUUGUUCUUGGGUUGGUUUGAGCCAUUGAAGGAUGCCAUAGCUGCUGAACAG